rnacentral:rRNA from 1 species
CACGCCGUAAACGAUGAGUGCUAGGUGUCGGGGGUUCACACCCUCGGUGCCGGAGUUAACGCAUUAAGCACUCCGCCUGGGGAGUACGGUCGCAAGACUGAAACUCAAAGGAAUUGACGGGGACCCGCACAAGCAGCGGAGCAUGUGGUUUAAUUCGAAGCAACGCGAAGAACCUUACCAGGACUUGACAUCCCUUUGACCGGUCCUUAACCGGACUUUUCCCUUCGGGGGACAAAGGAGACAGGUGG